rnacentral:rRNA from 1 species
UACGGAGGGAGCUAGCGUUGUUCGGAAUUACUGGGCGUAAAGCGCACGUAGGCGGCUUUGUAAGUUAGAGGUGAAAGCCCGGGGCUCAACCCCGGAAUUGCCUUUAAGACUGCAUCGCUUGAAUCCGGGAGAGGUGAGUGGAAUUCCGAGUGUAGAGGUGAAAUUCGUAGAUAUUCGGAAGAACACCAGUGGCGAAGGCGACUCACUGGACAUGUAUUGACGCUGAGGUGCGAAAGCGUGGGGAGCAAACAGG